CCUGACUUCUAUUUGUGGCUAGGCCACAGGGGGGCAGGGACCUUAUCCAAAAGGAAGAUCAGGCCGGAUGCAAUCACACAAGAGGCUUUUCACCCUCUUCCUGACCCCUAAAGUGUUCCUUCUAAUUCUCCUCCAGAGGAGGCGGUUAAAGGACACUGGGAGGGUAAACAGGCAGAAUGGGAUGGGCCCGCGCACGCCAUUUCCUCACCUCUAACACGGCAGCAGGAGCUUAGGACAGGAGGCUUCGGAGGAAGGCAGGCCCUCUUGCCUUCCCCCUCAAACGGGAGACAGAGGGGAAGAUGAGGGAAAAACCAAGCAAGUGGACACAAGAAAAGUGACCUCAGCAGAGACGGGCCAGACUGUGAGCUCCUUAAGGGCAAAGACAAUGAUUGUUCAAGUCUGUCUUCCCUGCACACAGCUUUGCGUUCUCGAGUCACUGCAGCUCAACUCUGCCAGCCCUGUGUUGGGCACUGGGGACAGAGAGAUGAAGAGGCACUGUCCACAACUUCAUGGAAACAGCUGAAAUGAAGGUGUGUGUUCAAGG